rnacentral:siRNA from 1 species
UUGGACAGGGGAGGAUUGUUCGC